rnacentral:tRNA from 2 species
GGAAGGGUGGCUGAGUGGACAAAAGCGCACGCCUUGAGAGCGUGUUCCCGCCUCUGGCGGGACGUGGGUUCGAAUCCCACCCCUUCCGCCA